rnacentral:rRNA from 1 species
UACAGAGGUGGCAAGCGUUGUUCGGAAUUACUGGGCGUAAAGGGCGCGUAGGCGGUCUUGUCAGUCCCUUGUGAAAUCCCCCGGCUCAACUGGGGAACUGCACGGGAAACAGCAGGGCUUGAGUUCGGGAGAGGGAAGCGGAAUUCCGGGUGUAGCGGUGAAAUGCGUAGAUAUCAGGAGGAACACCGGUGGCGAAGGCGCACAUCUGGCCCGAUACUGACGCUGAGGCGCGAAAGCUAGGGGAGCAAACGGG